UCCCAUGUGGUCUAGUGGCUAGGAUCUGUCGUUUUCAUCGCCAUGGCCCGGGUUCGAUUCCCGGCAUGGGAA
rnacentral:tRNA from 1 species